GACGUAGGAUGCAAACGUUAUCCGGAGUUACUGGGCGUAAAGGGCGUGUAGGCGGUUUGUUAAGUCUGGCGUGAAAGCUCUCGGCUAAACCGGGAGAGGUCGUUGGAUACUGGCAAACUAGAGGACGGUAGAGGCGUGUGGAAUUCCGGGUGUAGUGGUGAAAUGCGUAGAGAUCCGGAGGAACACCAGUGGCGAAGGCGACACGCUGGGCCGUACCUGACGCUAAAGCGCGACAGCAUGGGGAGCAAACGGG
rnacentral:rRNA from 1 species